GUGAGGAAUUUUCCGCAAUGGGCGAAAGCCUGACGGAGCAAUGCCGCGUGAAGGAUGAAGGCCUAUGGGUUGUAAACUUCUUUUCUCAGAAAAGAAUUAUGACGGUAUCUGAGGAAUAAGCAUCGGCUAACUCUGUGCCAGCAGCCGCGGUAAGACAGAGGAUGCAAGCGUUAUCCGGAAUGAUUGGGCGUAAAGCGUCUGUAGGUUGUUUAAAAAGUAUUCUGUCAAAGAUUAGGGCUUAACCCUAGAUAGGCAGAAUAAACUUUUAAGCUAGAGUUUGGUAGAGGCAGGGGGAAUUCCCGGUGGAGCGGUGAAAUGCGUAGAUAUCGGGAGGAACACCAAAGGCGAAGGCACUCUGCUGGGCCAAUACUAACACUGAGAGACGAAAGCGAGGGGAGCAAAUGGGAUUAGAAACCCGUGUAGUCC
rnacentral:rRNA from 1 species